GUUAGUAUUUACCCUUGAAAAUUUAAAACAAAUGAAUACAUUGGAGUGAAUUGUGAAAAAUUUGGUAGAGAUGAGAGUGACUGAUAUCAUUAAGAUCCCACAUUCGCAAAAAACUGAACAAAGGGGGAAGAUGCGAAGUCAGCAGUUUAUUCGUCAUUCAAAUUCUCAUCAUAAGCAUAAAUUGUGUUUACAUUUCCUAAGUGAAAGAAUGUGGGAAUAUCGUGCAUCUUUUAAAUUUGGGAAAUAUCGACACAGAAUGUUUCAAAUAUUGUAUCGAAAAUUGUGGACAAAAUUUGGGCAUACACAAUUAUUGUCA